rnacentral:lncRNA from 10 species
CCAAGCUUUAACUGGCUGAGCCGUCUGUAUCCCUCCUUCCAUCUUCUGUUCUUCAAUUACCUUUUUUUUUGCCUGUAAACAUUAACCAGCCAUGUGGCAGCCUCAGGAGUCUUUCAGAACCUGUUCUGGUUCUGAGGAUUGCCCGACGCACAAAUAGUUCUUUGCUCAAUUAAAUGCUGUUACAUUUAAUUUGUCUAAAGCUUUUCUUUUAACAGAUGUUUAUAAGAUAGGUGUUCAUAAGCAAGAGAAUGUAACUCUAUUUGCCUUUAAAUACUUGUUAUGAAGAAGUUAUAUUUGCAAAGUUCUAAGAAAGCUGCAAUCACUUGCUGUUGCCGGAAACUGCCUUGUGGCCUGGCGUCCUGGGAAUUUGCUUGGCUUUUUGUGGCCGCCAUCCAAAACUGGGAACCACAAGUCAAAGUUUUCCUUGUAGAAAUAUUUCACCUCGGCCGCCCGGGA